rnacentral:ncRNA from 1 species
AAGAACACGUUGAAGGAAGAAAGUAAGCAGUUCUAUCAUGUUCAGAGAGAUGCGUUCUAGGCUGAAAGACGCAUUACAUGAAGAUUGUUGAAAGCUGUUCCGGAGUGCGGUUAAUUCCCGCCGUAGUUAUGCCACGUUAUAGGCAUCUGAGCUGAUAGACAUCAUGUCUAUAAACAGGGUGGUACCGCGGAAUCAAAACCCGUCCCUGCC